GUGCUCCCCCGCCAAUUCUUUAGUUUCAAUCUUGCGAUCGUACUCCCCAGGCGGCAGACUUAACAGCUUCCCUGCGGCACUAGAACGGCACGUGGCCGUCCAAACACCUAGUCUGCAUCGUUUACAGCUGGGACUACCCGGGUAUCUAAUCCGGUUCGCUCCCCCAGCUUUCAUCCCUCACCGUCGGGCGCGUUCUAGCAGACAGCCUUCGCCACUGGUGGUCUUCCCGGGAUUAUAGGAUUUCACCCCUACCCCGGAAAUACCGUCUGCCUCUCUCGUCCCCUAGCCAAGUAGUAUCCCCCGCAAUCCAACGAUUAAUUCGUUGGAUUUAACAGGGGGCUAACCUAGCCAGCUACGGAUGCUUUAGGCCCAAUAAACAUCCACACCACUCGGAGAGCUGGUAUUACCGCGGCGGCUGACACCAGACUUGCCCUCUCCUUAUUCCCCCAGCGUUCUAGACUGGGUAAAAGCCUUCCUCAGCGGAUGGCACUCGGGAUAGCCCUGUCAAGCUUUCGCUUAUUGCAAAGUUUUCGCGCCUGCUGCACCCCGU
rnacentral:rRNA from 1 species